AGUGAGUCAAUGUUUUUUUGCCAGGGGAUCCUUGAGGGUCCUCCCCUGGCAAGGUGAGAGCCAGCAUUAGUGGGAGGUGGGACAGGGAGCAGCACAGAGGUGUCCCAGGUGGACUGGGCUGCACUGUGUCCUAUCUCAGCCCACUGAACUCUGGGCCGCACCACCUGAGUACCUGGGAUGCCCCUUUCCCUGCAAGGAAAGCCUCUUACUGCAAAGAGGCCCAGCAGCAACAGGAGCAGGGCCCUGUACCUUGAUGUGCUCCUGCUUCCUGCAGUGCCUUGUGCUAUCAGCAGGCUGAGAGGCAGCUUGGACACUGCCCUCCCACUCAGACAUCCUCCUCGUAAACAUCCUGUCCCGCUGAAGCCCGGUGCUGUCACGUCCUCACUGCUCCACAGCAGACAUUGUUCUGGGUUUGAUUCUCCUACACACAAAGCACACAGUUGUGCGUGUAGAAAGCCAGGCAGACAGCAGGACAGAACCUGGCAGUAACUCUUGGUUAAGCUGCUGACAUGCCAAAAGUACUGCAGAGGAAGGGAGUUCUCUAAGGGUCUUAAAAUUAACUAAAAUCAUCUGCUUGAGCCUCCUUGGAAAACCAAUUCCCUCUCCUAGGCAUGUUUAGCAGCUAUACCUUACUCCAAGCAGGUGCAAACCUGGUUGUAUGACAAGAAGAACCUUUGUAAUCAUGGAAAGUAGCAGAAGAGUGGACUGGAAGCUGAGCUGGAGUAAGUUUACACAAGCGGCAAGUAAAACACCCAUCCCCAGUGAGUCAGGUCCGGCUGUUUCCUUCAUUUCCUCCAAGGCUUGCUGGGAACAUCCAGCGGUAACAGCCCUUCGUCUCCUUUCCUGCCCCUUGUUUACAGCUCUCCCUCGGGAGGGAGCAGAGUCCCAGCAUCCAGCACUGUGUUUUCACUGCAGCACACAGGGAAGUGCAGACUCCCCCAGGCCUCAGCUCAGCUUCGGUACCGCAGUGCACUUGUUGCAUUUGUAGGUGCCAGUGCCAGCACCUCCUCGAGCGACGGCAGCUGCUCGACCAAAAGAGGAAAAAAGGUCACAUUUCCACAGUUUGCUCAUGUUUUGGUUUUUUUUGUUUUUAUCUUGAAUACACCCUUAUGAUUGAUGGAGGUUCUCUGUUCUUACAGCCAUUGCUUUGGAUUCAGUCCGGUAGGGCAGAAGGGAUACACUGGAAUAUUACGCUGUUGGAGUGUGCAAACCAUCUCUCGGGGAUAUGGCUUUGAGCUUCCCUGGUUCAGAUGAAGGAAGUCCCUCAUUUGUGGAAGUGAGCUUGGGCCGGACUUAGUCUGGGAAUCUGCUUCCGUGCCAGCUAUAGGUGCAGUUUUAAGGGUGAACUCCUGCUGUUGUCUGGCAGAGCCCUCACUUAUCACAGAGUUAAUCUUCGCUCAAGAUGAGGAUGGGCUGAUAAUACACCUUUCUCUGAGAGCUGUGGUUUCAAAAAUUCAGCAGUUUCACUCCUGUGAUUUUGCAGUUUGUCUUCUGGAAGGGAUGUGUGGAAUAGAAACAAUGAAGAAGUAAGACCAAAGAAGAUAGAAGCCCAGAGGCAAAAAAGACUCCAAACCUGCGUGCAGAGGAACUUGACAGAGAAGAGGCUGUGCAUGGACAGUGGUACUGAUGACAAAUCCCCUUUGGUCCCUUUGGCUGUUCAGCCAUUAAUCUUUGGGAAAAGUGAGUGGCAGGAGCCUUUGCUGGAAGUGGCUGUGGGGCACAGCAAGCCUUGGCCAGGAGGAGCAGAAGAUAUUUUGCCGACUGAGUCAUGGUAUUAAAUGUGCUUUUUACAGUGAAAUUCAUUGUAAGAGUGAAGCAGGUCAUUGGUAUUUAAUCUGAACCAGAGUUGUGCAACUUCAUGUGACUCUGCAGGAGAUGGGUUCCCGUGAUAGGUUCCUCAUCCAGGGCUAUGAAGCUCUUCCAGGCAAAACAUGUCCUUGUGGUUAUGCCUUUUCUUUCAUUUCUUCUUGCUUACGUAGAAAACCUGUAUGUGUAACAAUUUGAAAGGCUUUUAAAAUUUCUUAAA